CAGCUUUCUGUUUUUAUUUUUUAGCAUAUAUAUCUCAAUAUUAAUAACAUCUUUUUAUAUAUAUUUACAAAAAUCUGUCAUUUUUUUCUUCGGAAGCAGCUGCAGGAGAGAUAAACGUGCAAGUUUCCAGAGCUGUUUCUGAGCUGCAGGGCGAAAUCAAAGCGCCGGCGGAGUGGGCGGGGUUUACCCAACCCAGUCUAGAAAGUUCAAUCUGUGGGAAAAUAGCGCGAAAGAAGCAACACUUGAAUUUCUGACUCGUCGUUAGUGACAGAAAAGCUCCAUUAAUUAUCAAAUUAACGUUUCUUUACACACGACUUUGUCUUGUGGUUGUAUUUAUUUCGUUUUCGUCUUUGUGUUGAUUUCUUUCACGUUUUGCCUGAGAGGAAUUCAGCGAAAAGGUUUCAGUGAGAGCUCCGACGGAGACGUUUUUACAGACGUUAAUAACAGACUAUUACUCAAAUGUAUCUUUCUUUACACACUGCUUGUCUUGAAGCUGUAACGUUAUUUAUUUUGUUUUCGUCUUUGUGUUGAUAUUUCACUUUUUGCCUGAGAGGAAUUCAGCGAUAACGUUUCUGUGAGAGCUUUGACGGAGACGUUUUCACAGCCGUUAACGUUAAUAUAUUUUUCCCACCCGUGGCUUCUGCCGGAGUUUCCAUCUUGGAAUCGCGGAUCCUUCACCAAAUGCUUAUACCCUUAUCGAGACUUCCAGAAUAUAAGCAAGUACCACUCCCGCAGACGCAGAGGCCCAUCUGUCUCUCCCAGUCACUCCAAGGAUCAUCAUGCUCGGAGAGACAAUCCUGACUGCAAAAAAAACGGAUGCUGUCAAUCGAGGAAAGGGUCGUAAUCCCACCUGGUGCUCACAUGGCGUACUUUACCACUGCAUUGGCUGCUUUCUUCGCCUGUGACUAUGUAUUCAAUCUAAAGUAUCAGGUGGAAGCCAGCACAACACUGGAGUUUGUUCAGAGGUUUUUAGUCAGGAUUAAUCCUGACUCCAACAAGUGCACUGCCAAGGAGCAGAGGAGCAAGACGACAGGGAGAGUGGUGAAGCGGAAGACUUCAUACAUGAACCCCCAUGUAAUCUCCUUCAUCAGGGACUUCACAGUUAAUUUGCUAACUGACUAGAUACAGGUCUCCAAGGGCAUGCAAGAAGUCAGAUCUUUGUCAAGUGGCAGGGGAAGUUUAUUUUCCUUUCUGUUUUAGAUGUUUAUGCAAAUGUUAAAUAUUUUAUUAUUUAAUGUUCAAUGUUUUAUUUUAUUUCAAUAUUGCCAUAGUGUUAUUUAUUGCUCUUUAGAAUGUGGUAAUAAUCAGUUUUUUGCACGGCUUGAAAGUAGUUAAUUUUUUUUACCAUAUUGUAUCAAUUUGCAUUAUUGUUAGGUCAUAGCAACCAGUCAUGCGGAACU